rnacentral:rRNA from 1 species
UACGUAGGGUGCAAGCGUUGUCCGGAAUUAUUGGGCGUAAAGAGCUCGUAGGCGGUCUGUCGCGUCGGCUGUGAAAACCCGGGGCUCAACCCCGGGCCUGCAGUCGAUACGGGCAGACUAGAGUGCGGUAGGGGGAGACUGGAAUUCCUGGUGUAGCGGUGGAAUGCGCAGAUAUCAGGAGGAACACCGGUGGCGAAGGCGGGUCUCUGGGCAGUAACUGACGCUGAGGAGCGAAAGCGUGGGGGAGCGAACAGG